UUGGAGGGCAAGUCUGGUGCCAGCAGCCGCGGUAAUUCCAGCUCCAAUAGCGUAUAUUAAAGUUGUUGCAGUUAAAAAGCUCGUAGUUGAACUUCGGGAUCAAUUGAUUGGUCAUGCCAUUGGUAUGUACUGGUCAUAUUGGUUCUCACCUUCUAAGGAACCAUAAUGUCAUUAAUUUGAUGUUUUGGGGAAUCAGGACUGUUACCUUGAAAAAAUUAGAGUGUUUAAAGCAGGCUAACGCUUGAAUACAUUAGCAUGGAAUAAUGAAAUAGGACAUCGCAUUCUAUUUUGCUGGUUUCUAGGAUCGAUGUAAUGAUUAAUAGGGAUAGUUGGGGGCGUUAGUAUUCAAUUGUCAGAGGUGAAAUUCUUGGAUUUAUUGAAGACUAACUACUGCGAAAGCAUUUGCCAAGGAUGUUUUCAUUAAUCAAGAACGAAAGUUAGGGGAUCGAAGACGAUCAGAUACCGUCGUAGUCUUAACCAUAAACUAUGCCGACUAGGGAUCGGAUGAUGUUGAUUUUUUAAUGACUCAUUCGGCGCCUUACGGGAAAC
rnacentral:rRNA from 1 species